CCCAUAUAAGUUAUUGGUAUUUGCUUCUUCACUUUAUGCCAUCUCAACUUAUGAAACAUUUCACAGGAACAUUUUUUUUGGAUAUGGUGGGAUGGCAGGGGUAGGCCCCUGUUUUCAGUUCUCAGCUCAAAUAAUUACACCGUCACUUUUCCUUACAAAAUAUAUUAUAAUUUGAUAUGCAACAGAAGUGCCUUAUGCAUACUUCUUUAACUAUCACACAGAAUAUUGAAAAUAUGUGUACUCGAGGGUGGAGAUCUAAUAAAAGUGAUUUUUUUCUCCUGCUCUAUCAAGAACAGUCUUACAUGAAACUUUUUCCCUAUGAAUUAGAAAUGUAGUUGUUACUAUUAUAGAUUGGUGCCAGUGUUAUGUUGAUGUGCCUGCAUUUUACCCACUGUAUUAAUCAUUUUUUUAUCUUCUAUAUUUUAUGAUAUUUUGAAACUUUGGAGGGCCUUGCUGGCUGGGGAGAGAUUGCCCCUCCUAGAGCUGGCUGAUUUCGUAGGGAUGGUAAACCACCUGUUGGUGAGCCUACAUUUUAUAUAAAAACCAACCAAUCCCAAGUCCAUCCCCUCAACCAUGUGCUUUAUCUAACUCUCACACACUGAGCCAACACUUCCUGUGUCCUAAAUCACCCAGGACUAGGUACCAUACAACUACAGACGCAUAGCCUCCAACACUACUCUAAAAAGCCAAUCCUAAACUGUUUCUCCUACCCUGCCUUGCCUUUCCCAUGCAAGCAGGUCCCACAAAAGGCUCUCGCAUAGGCUUUCCCCUCUCUCCUUUCUGUGUCCUGACCAAGCCUGCUGCUCCUCUGUGUGGCCCUACAAGGCAUGGUGUGCCCUCUCCUCUAAGGAAAUGUAAUGAAAAUCUCCUUUCAAUGAGAUUAGCCUAUGUCAUCACUCAGCCAUCUUCAUAAAUUAAAAUUCCAUAAGUACAAAUGAGACACCCACCUUUAAAAGACAAGGUUGUUAUUAUUAACAAAAAGAGUUUUGAUUUUGUGGACUACCUUCCCAAACUCUCCUGCAUAAGGAUCUCACGUACUAAGAUCCAUGUCACACUUCGGGAACUGCUGGCUUAGGCCUUUCUGCUUGUUUUUCAUGUCUUUAACAUUUCAGUCCUCUUUCUUUUGUUUAGUCUUCUAUUUAUAGGCAUUCUUAAAUCUCUCCACAAAAAGAGAAAUCAUUGUCUAAUAUUUAUCUUCCUCUUAGUUUUCAUAUUCUUUCCUUUCUUUCCCUGUGCAAUGUCUUAACUGUUUCUUGUGCUCAGGCUCAUAUCCUAUUCUCACCAUGACACCUGCCAUCAAAUUUCAAAAUCAAUAUGCUUUGGACCUAGGUGAUAGUUUAGUAUCACUUCUUUUCAAUAAAUUUCUUUCCAAUAAGUGUCUGUAUUCCAUAUCAUAGCGCUCAGAUUCCUGAUACCUACCCACCUUGAUCUGGGUGAAAAACACUAACUCAUUCUUAACGUAUUUCCCAGAUGCCUUCUCACACGUUCAUUGCUUUUCUUCCCCCUUAUUGCCUGGGAAAAUAAAUAUUUGUUGAUAAAUGGAUUUUAUUUCACUGGUCUCUUGUUGUUAUGCUUUAAGGAUCUUUCUUCAUCCUCAGUGCUUGCCUUUGUAAAAGUCCUAUCAGCUAUAAUAAUCUGAUCCAUUCUCAAGUUGUGAUUUUCUUGUUUUAUGUGAAUGGCUUUCAAACACACAUUUUCAGCCCACUUCUCCCACCUGAACUCUAGUAUCUAUUUUCAUCUGCCUAUAGCAACACAA